CGAACGUGAAGAGAGUUUUCGGAUUCUCUGAAAGUGGCGAACGGGUGAGUAACACGUAGAUAACCUGCCCUGGAGUGGGGGAUAACCAUUGGAAACGAUGGCUAAUACCGCAUGAAUCUGCGCUUGCGGGAGUGAGCGCAGAGAAAACUCUGGUGCUACAGGAGGGGUCUGCGUCCGAUUAGCUAGUUGGCGGGGUAAAGGCCCACCAAGGCGACGAUCGGUAGCUGGUCUGAGAGGACGAUCAGCCACACGGGAACUGAGACACGGUCCCGACUCCUACGGGGGGCAGCAGUGAGGAAUAUUGGGCAAUGGGCGCAAGCCUGACCCAGCAACGCCGCGUGGAGGAAGACGGCCUUUGGGUUGUAAACUCCUUUUGUCGGGGAAGAGGAAGGACGGUACUCGGCGAAUAAGUCACGGCUAACUACGUGCCAGCAGCCGCGGUAAUACGUAGGUGACAAGCGUUAUCCGGAUUUACUGGGCGUAAAGCGCACGCAGGCGGCUGAUUAAGUCUGACGUGAAAUCUCCUGGCUUAACUGGGAGGGGUCGUUGGAAACUGGUUGGCUUGAGGCAGUGAGAGGGGUGUGGAAUUCCCGGUGUAGUGGUGGAAUGCGUAGAUAUCGGGAGGAACACCAGUGGCGAAAGCGGCACCCUGGCACUGGCCUGACGCUCAUGUGCGAAAGCGUGGGGAGCAAACGGGAUUAGAUACCCCGGUAGUCCACGCCGUAAACGAUGAGUACUAGGUGUGGGUGGAGUCAAAUCUAUCCGUGCCGAAGCAAACGCGCUAAGUACUCCGCCUGGGGA
rnacentral:rRNA from 1 species